AACGCACGAGACCUGCGGACCUGCGGAAGGAUCAUUACAGAGUUCAUGCCCUCACGGGUAGAUCUCCCACCCUUGUGUAUUCUUGAUGUUUUGUUGCUUUGGCAGGCCGUUAGCUCGCCUAACCACCGGCUCUCGGGCUGGUGCGCGCCUGCCGGAGGACCUCCCAAACUCUGUUUGUUAGUGUCGUCUGAGUACUAUAACAAUUUGUUAAAACUUUUAACAAUGGAUCUCUAGAUCGGA
rnacentral:misc_RNA from 1 species